rnacentral:lncRNA from 1 species
AGCCAUAGCGAAGAAAGCAGCGAAGCAAACUGGAAAAGAAUGUUUGCAUGAUGUGAACAAAAAGAUGUCAUGAUGCAAACUGUCCAUGAUCAGAUCACGUUCUGCAACUGAAAGCUUCAGUAUAUAAGCGAACAAAACAAACGCUUUUCUAUUUAAAAUUUAUCAAAAGGAACAGAAAUAUCAAACCAUAAGAUAUAUCAAACCUUUUUCCUUGCAUAGCU